UGGGGAAUAUUGGACAAUGGGCGAAAGCCUGAUCCAGCCAUGCCGCGUGUGUGAAGAAGGCCUUCGGGUUGUAAAGCUCUUUUACCAGGGACGAUAAUGACGGUACCUGGAGAAUAAGCCCCGGCAAACUUCGUGCCAGCAGCCGCGGUAAUACGAAGGGGGCUAGCGUUGUUCGGAAUUACUGGGCGUAAAGCGUACGUAGGCGGUGACUCAAGUCAGAGGUGAAAGCCUGGAGCUCAACUCCAGAACUGCCUUUGAAACUAGGUCGCUAGAAUCACGGAGAGGUGAGUGGAAUUCCGAGUGUAGAGGUGAAAUUCGUAGAUAUUCGGAAGAACACCAGUGGCGAAGGCGGCUCACUGGACGUGUAUUGACGCUGAGGUACGAAAGCGUGGGGAGCAAACAGGAUUAGAUACCCAAGUAGUCCCUGAGCGGGCUGGCAAGGCGCAU
rnacentral:rRNA from 1 species